rnacentral:rRNA from 1 species
AGAUUGAACGCUGGCGGCAGGCCUAACACAUGCAAGUCGAGCGGUAGAGAGGUGCUUGCACCUCUUGAGAGCGGCGGACGGGUGAGUAAUGCCUAGGAAUCUGCCUAGUGGUGGGGGAUAACGUUCGGAAACGGACGCUAAUACCGCAUACGUCCUACGGGAGAAAGCGGGGGACCUUCGGGCCUCGCGCCAUUAGAUGAGCCUAGGUCGGAUUAGCUAGUUGGUGAGGUAAUGGCUCACCAAGGCGACGAUCCGUAGCUGGUCUGAGAGGGAUGAUCAGCCACACUGGAACUGAGACACGGUCCAGACUCCUACGGGAGGCAGCAGUGGGGAAUAUUGGACAAUGGGCGCAAGCCUGAUCCAGCCAUACCGCGUGGGUGAAGAAGGCCGUUCGGUUAGUAACGCCCUUUUGUUAGGGAAAGUAAGUCCUGACCGGUUAAUAACCAGUAGGAUGAACGGUACCCAAAGAAUAAGCACGCUAACUCGUGCCAG